UGCCACAGCCCUAUCACCCUGUAGUCCGAGACCAGUUACUUACUGAAGCUGAGCAGGGCUGAGCCAGGUCAGUACCCGGAUGGGAGACCACAUGGUAAAAACUACAGUAAAUUGCUGUUGGAU
rnacentral:rRNA from 1 species